rnacentral:rRNA from 1 species
GUGGGGAAUCUUAGACAAUGGGCGCAAGCCUGAUCUAGCCAUGCCGCGUGAGUGAUGAAGGCCCUAGGGUUGUAAAGCUCUUUCAGCUGGGAAGAUAAUGACGGUACCAGCAGAAGAAGCCCCGGCUAACUCCGUGCCAGCAGCCGCGGUAAUACGGAGGGGGCUAGCGUUGUUCGGAAUUACUGGGCGUAAAGCGCGCGUAGGCGGACUGAAAAGUUGGGGGUGAAAUCCCGGGGCUCAACCUCGGAACUGCCUUCAAAACUAUCAGUCUGGAGUUCGAGAGAUGUGAGUGGAAUUCCGAGUGUAGAGGUGAAAUUCGUAGAUAUUCGGAGGAACACCAGUGGCGAAGGCGGCUCACUGGCUCGAUACUGACGCUGAGGUGCGAAAGCGUGGGGAGCAAACAGGAUUAGAAACCCCAGUAGUCC